UAAAAGGCGCGUUGCCCGGCAACAGAAGAAACUGCUGGCUUAGCCGUUGGCCGAGUUGGCGGCUGGACGAGGACGCUCCGAGCCCAGCUCUCGAGAGUUCAAGCAACCGACGGUUCCCCACUGCUCCCAGGAGCGGUUACCUGGGCACUCUGUGCCCCUCCUUCCUGUUCGGGCCCAGGCCGAGGACCUGCCAGUAGGGCUCAGUUGCCUGGAGCCCGUUCAGCCCAUCCCCCAGUUCACUUUGCCUGUGGGAUCUCCCCGUUGCUCCUGCCCGUGGACUGAGUGGCAGGCCAUCCUACAAGCACCCGGACACUUGACAUCAGUGGUGUCAAGACAACUCUAAGAAGGUUUUCCGUGAUCCUGCAAGCCCUGCCUUCCUUCCUGGGAUCCUGCCUUCAAUUUGAUUGCACAGGUACCACAGCAAGCCAGUGCUGUGUGCUCCGAGUUCCAGGGCGUCCUCCAGCUCAGCCACUGCACUGAGAACAUGGACUCUCUGUGGGGCCCAGGAGCCGGGAGUCACCCCUUUGGGGUCCACAACACCCGGCUGUCCCCAGACUUGUGUCCAGGGAAGAUAGUGUUGAGGGCCCUCAAGGAGAGCGGGGCAGGGAUGCCUGAGCAGGACAAGGACCCUAGAGUCCAAGAGAAUCCUGGUGAUCAGAGAAGGGUCCCCGAGGUCACCGGGGAUGCACCGUCUGCAUUUCGGCCCCUGCGGGACAAUAGAGGCCUCUCUCCCUUUGUGCCCGGGCCCGGGCCUCUGCAGACAGACCUCCAUGCCCAGAGGUCAGAAAUCAGAUAUAACCAGACAUCCCAGAUCUCCUGGACGAGCUCCUGCACCAACCGAAAUGCCAUCUCCAGCUCCUACAGCUCCAUGGGAGGCUUGCCGGGGCUAAAGCGGAGGAGGGGGCCAGCCUCAUCCCACUGCCAGCUGACCCUCAGUUCCUCAAAGACAGUGAGUGAGGACAGGCCUCAGGCUGUCUCUUCAGGUCACACCCAGUGUGAAAAGGCAGCAGAUAUAGCACCAGGGCAGACACUCGCCCUCAGGAAUGACUCCUCCACAUCCGAGGCCUCUAGGCCCAGUACACACAAGUUUCCCCUGCUGCCACGCAGGCGAGGGGAGCCUUUGAUGCUGCCACCUCCCUUAGAGCUGGGGUACCGGGUCACUGUUGAAGACCUGGACCGGGAGAAGGAGGCGGCAUUCCAGCGCAUCAACAGUGCACUGCAGGUUGAGGACAAGGCCAUCUCGGACUGCAGACCCUCACGGCCUUCCCACACUUUGUCCUCACUUGCAACAGGGACUUCUGGUCUGCCUGCCAUUUCUAAAGCACCCAGUAUGGAUGUACAGCAGGAGACACACAAGUCCCAAGACUGCCUGGGCCUACUGGCCCCCUUAGCAUCUGCUGCAGGGGUCCCCUCUACAGCUCCCAUGUCUGGGAAGAAGCACAGACCACCAGGCCCCCUGUUCUCCUCCUCAGAUCCCCUUCCUGCCACCUCUUCCCAUUCCCAGGACUCAGCCCAGGUCACCUCGCUGAUUCCUGCCCCCUUCCCAGCUGCAAGCAUGGAUGCGGGCAUGAGAAGAACAAGGUGUGGCACUUCUGCUCCUGCAGCUGCCGCAGCAGCCCCUCCCCCCUCCACAUUGAACCCCACGUUGGGGUCACUACUGGAGUGGAUGGAGGCCCUUCACAUUUCUGGGCCUCAGCCACAGCUGCAGCAGGUGCCCAGAGGUCAGAACCAGAGAUCCCAGACCUCCCGGACCAGCUCGUGCCCCAAACGAAAUGCCAUCUCGAGCCCCUACCACUCUACGGGAGGCCUCCCGGAACGAAAGCGGAGAAGGGGGCCAGCCUCAUCCCACUGCCAGCUGACCCUCAGUUCCUGAAACACAUAGGACCCAGGGUGCGUGCCCAUCUCCAGCCCAGGGCAGCUCCCCUGUAAGCUGGGUGAGCUACUGAAGCCAAGGCGGGAGGCAGCUGACAACACCCACAGCCCAUGCGGAGGUGGUGGAAAGGCUGGACUCAGCAGCAACACCAAAUCCUGGACCAGGCAAAAACCACCCAAGACUGAGGGGCUCGUGCCAGAGCGGUGGCCACAGCCCCACCCCACCGGCUCAGGGGUUCUUCCCAGCGGCGCUGAUCAUGAAGUCAACAUGCACGCAAGUCGUCUCAGGAAACUUCUUAAUGAAAGUGUCGGCCACGGUGGUGUGUAGGUGGCUGAGCUCAGAUUGCAGCUGCUAAGACACCAGCCACUUACCAAGAGAAAGCCAGGCUGCUUCAAACCCAGGGCCCACGGCAAAAAAGCAUCACUUCCGGCCGGGGAGUCUGGAAGCCACGCCUUGUGGGAGGUCACACUGGCAUCUAGGCCUUCGCCUGCAUUGCAGAAGGAGAGCCGGGUCCCCCUCCUGGAGAAUGCUGUGUUCCCCAGCCCCACACCGGCUUUGCCACCACACAGGCUGUUGAGGCAGGAGGCGGGUAAGACGUAGCUGUAGACCCAAAGCAACCACCAGCCCUGGGACC